AUACGUAGGUGGCAAGCGUUGUCCGGAAUUAUUGGGCGUAAAGCGCGCGCAGGCGGUCCUUUAAGUCUGAUGUGAAAGCCCACGGCUCAACCGUGGAGGGUCAUUGGAAACUGGGGGACUUGAGUGCAGAAGAGGAAAGUGGAAUUCCAAGUGUAGCGGUGAAAUGCGUAGAGAUUUGGAGGAACACCAGUGGCGAGGCGGUUUUCGGGGCUGUAACUGACGUGGAGGCGCGAAAGCGUGGGGAGAAAACAGGAUUAGAUACCCUGGUUGUCCACGCCGUAAACGAUGAGUGCUAAGUGUUAGGGGGUUUCCGCCCCUUAGUGCUGCAGCUAACGCAUUAAGCACUCCGCCUGGGGAGUACGGUCGCAAGACUGAAACUCAAAUGAAUUGGCGGGG
rnacentral:rRNA from 1 species